rnacentral:rRNA from 1 species
UACGUAGGGUGAAAGCGUUGUCCGGAAUUAUUGGGCGUAAAGAGCGUGUAGGCGGCCCGAUUAGUCCGCUGUGAAAGUCCAGGGCUCAACCCUGGAAUGCCGGUGGAUACUGUCGGGCUAGAGUCCGGAAGGGGCGAGUGGAAUUCCUGGUGUAGCGGUGAAAUGCGCAGAUAUCAGGAGGAACACCAAUGGCGAAGGCAGCUCGCUGGGACGUGACUGACGCUGAGACGCGAAAGCGUGGGGAGCAAACAGG